rnacentral:rRNA from 1 species
UACAGAGGGUGCGAGCGUUAAUCGGAAUUACUGGGCGUAAAGCGCACGUAGUCGGCUUUGCAAGUCGGGUGUGAAAUCCCCGGGCUCAACCUGGGAACUGCAUCCGAGACUGCAUUGCUAGAGUACGGGAGAGGGAAGCGGAAUUUCUGGUGUAGCAGUGAAAUGCGUAGAUAUCAGAAGGAACAUCAGUGGCGAAGGCAGCUUCCUGGACCAAUACUGACGAUCAGGUGCGAAAGCGUGGGGAGCAAACAGG